rnacentral:rRNA from 1 species
GGGUAACCUGCCUGUAAGACUGGGAUAACUCCGGGAAACCGGGGCUAAUACCGGAUGCUUGUUUGAACCGCAUGGUUCAAACAUAAAAGGUGGCUUCGGCUACCACUUACAGAUGGACCCGCGGCGCAUUAGCUAGUUGGUGAGGUAAUGGCUCACCAAGGCAACGAUGCGUAGCCGACCUGAGAGGGUGAUCGGCCACACUGGGACUGAGACACGGCCCAGACUCCUACGGGAGGCAGCAGUAGGGAAUCUUCCGCAAUGGACGAAAGUCUGACGGAGCAACGCCGCGUGAGUGAUGAAGGUUUUCGGAUCGUAAAGCUCUGUUGUUAGGGAAGAACAAGUGCCGUUCAAAUAGGGCGGCACCUUGACGGUACCUAACCAGAAAGCCACGGCUAACUACGUGCCAGCAGCCGCGGUAAUACGUAGGUGGCAAGCGUUGUCCGGAAUUAUUGGGCGUAAAGGGCUCGCAGGCGGUUUCUUAAGUCUGAUGUGAAAGCCCCCGGCUCAACCGGGGGAGGGUCAUUGGAAACUGGGGAACUUGAGUGCAGAAGAGGAGAGUGGAAUUCCACGUGUAGCGGUGAAAUGCGUAGAGAUGUGGAGGAACACCAGUGGCGAAGGG